CGUGUAGGCGGCUUGUUAAGUCGGAUGUGAAAGCCCUGGGCUCAACCCGGGAAGUGCGUUCGAUACUGGCAAGCUUGAGUACAGGAGAGGGUGGCGGAAUUCCCGGUGUAGAGGUGAAAUUCGUAGAUAUCGGGAGGAACACCAGUGGCGAAGGCGAGUUUCUGGCCAUUAACUGACGCUGAGGCGCGAAAGCGUGGGGAGCGAACAGGAUUAGAUACCCUGGUAGUCC
rnacentral:rRNA from 1 species